rnacentral:rRNA from 1 species
GGCGCACGGGUGCGUAACGCGUAUGCAACCUACCCUGUACUGGGGGAUAGCCCGGAGAAAUUCGGAUUAAGACCCCAUAGUAUAUAACAUUCGCAUGUUUGUUAUAUUAAAGGUUACGGUACAGGAUGGGCAUGCGUCCUAUUAGCUAGAUGGUGAGGUAACGGCUCACCAUGGCUACGAUAGGUAGGGGGCCUGAGAGGGUGGUCCCCCACACUGGUACCGAGACACGGACCAGACUCCUACGGGAGGCAGCAGUGAGGAAUAUUGGUCAAUGGACGCAAGUCUGAACCAGCCAUGCCGCGUGCAGGAAGAAUGCCCUAUGGGUUGUAAACUGCUUUUAUUUGGGAAUAAACCCCUUUACGUGUAGAGGGCUGAAGGUACCAAAUGAAUAAGCACCGGCUAACUCCGUGCCAGCAGCCGCGGUAAUACGGAGGGUGCAAGCGUUAUCCGGAAUCAUUGGGUUUAAAGGGUCCGCAGGCGGUCCUAUAAGUCAGUGGUGAAAGCCUACAGCUCAACUGUAGAACUGCCAUUGAUACUGUAGGACUUGAAUAUGGUCGAAGUGGGCGGAAUAUGACAUGUAGCGGUGAAAUGCUUAGAUAUGUCAUAGAACACCGAUAGCGAAGGCAGCUCACUAGGCCAUUAUUGACGCUCAUGGA